AACCUCCGCAAUGUGAGAAAUCGCGACGGGGGGAUCCCAAGUGCCAUUCUUAACGGGAUGGCUUUUCAUUAGUGUAAAGAGCUUUUGGAAUAAGGGCUGGGCAAGACCGGUGCCAGCCGCCGCGGUAACACCGGCAGCUCUAGUGGUAACAAUUUUUAUUGGGCCUAAAGCGUCCGUAGCCGGUUUAAUAGGUCUCUGGUGAAAUCCUGUAGCUUAACUGUGGGAAUUGCUGGAGAUACUAUUAGACUUGAGACCGGGAGAGGUUAGAGGUACUCCCAGGGUAGAGGUGAAAUUCUGUAAUCCUGGGAGGACCGCCUGUUGCGAAGGCGUCUAACUGGAACGGUUCUGAUGGUGAGGGACGAAAGUUAGGGGCGCGAACCGGAUUAGAUACCCGGGUAGUCCUAACUGUAAACGAUGCGGACUUGGUGUUAGGGUGGCUUUGAGCUGCUCCAGUGCCGAAGGGAAGCUGUUAAGUCCGCCGCCUGGGAAGUACGGCCGCAAGACUGAAACUUAAAGGAAUU
rnacentral:rRNA from 1 species